GGCCGCAUGGCCUAAUGGUUAAGGUGCCAGAUUUCGGCAACGAACUCUCUGGAGAUUCCAGGUUCGAAUCCUGGUGUGGUCG
rfam:Erysiphe necator strain c c-strain-scaffold_6786, whole genome shotgun sequence.